GCCACUAUGUUAUGGAACUGCAUUUUCUCCUGGGACGGCGCCGGCUAGCUCCCGAAUCCCCAGGGCGGAGUAUCCCCAAUAUCCCUACAGUAUCCACAACAUAAACAUCGAUAUACGCGCGUCUCACUUCACAAAAACUAUCGCUCAUCACUAACAAACAAAACAAACAAAAUGUAAACAAUGCAAAUAAUUAGGAGUGACGGGAAAUAUAUGGUGUUUUGGUGGCUAUUGGUGACCUAGCCAAGCACGCCCACCCAACCAAGGAUGCCCCGGAUGAUUCUGAGGAGGCAUCACCCAUAAUCAGCUGGUCCAAGUCACUCCUCGCGACUAGGACAGCUCCAUCUCCCCCACAACGACAACUCACUCGCACAUUUCAGUCUUCAUGUACAUUUAAUAUCCACACCUUUACGACCAAACUUGGCCACCGUCUACAAAUUUACGCGGUCAAAGCGGAAGAUUACCUUCCUUUGGCAAAGGCUACAGGCGCCGCGGAAAUAAUGUUCCACCAGACACGUAUUGGUGGAACUCACAGUGGAACGAGGCGCAAAAAAGGGCACACACUAGGUAUGUGUCGGGUCACCUAAUCCUGAGGAGCUCCUAGGGAAAAGAAGGGACAGGCCAAACGGCAACAACGAGGACAAAUUGAGGUUUUCGGGUCUAAGUCCGGAUAAAUUUACAGGUCAACAGCCACUUCUGGGCUAGGCGCCGGGCUAAAUAUGCCCCGACUGCAGCGUACUCUGCCGGAGGCCAGCAGCAAUAAGGGCCUGGAACACCCGGAGGAACGGUGGUUAAGGAAGGGAUAGAUGGCGGUGCCUUUCAACGCCGCGCGAAAUGGCCAGCCAGUUACUCCAAGGCGACUUAACAGCCAGGAACGGACUCACCGGCGUAUUUUAGACAGCGUUGGCGGCGUCCGAGGAUGGCGAGUUAUUGUGGUCCAAAAUGUAUCGCUUGGUUGAAAGAAGGUGCGUAGAGGUAUGGAUGCCAAUAUCCAGAUUAUGUGUCCCGCUUUUAUUUGAAUUUAUGCCUCCAAUUUAAAUAGUCCAAUUCAAUUAUUCCAAUUGGAAUUUCCGGAUUUAAUUUCCUCCAAUUUAAAUUUUCAGAUCUAAUUAGUCCAAUUAAGUCUUCCAAUUUAAUCUUCCAAUUUAAAUAUCCCGGGGCCCUUUGUAUUGGGACCCCGGUUGCCCUACGAAUAAUUAUUUAUAAAUAAAAUAAACUAUUA